UGGGGAAUAUUGCACAAUGGGCGCAAGCCUGAUGCAGCAACGCCGCGUGAGGGAAGACGGUCUUCGGUAUGUAAAGCUCUAUCAGCAGGGAAGAUAAUGACGGUACCUGACUAAGAAGCCCCGGCUAACUACGUGCCAGCAGCCGCGGUAAUACGUAGGGGGCAAGCGUUAUCCGGAUUUACUGGGUGUAAAGGGAGCGCAGGCGGCAGGGCAAGUCAGAUGUGAAAACCCGGGGCUCAACUCCGGGACUGCAUUUGAAACUGUCCGGCUGGAGUGCAGGAGAGGCAGGCGGAAUUCCUAGUGUAGCGGUGAAAUGCGUAGAUAUUAGGAGGAACACCAGUGGCGAAGGCGGCCUGCUGGACUGUAACUGACGCUGAGGCUCGA
rnacentral:rRNA from 1 species